AGGCACAGAGCUCACACCAAAGUCUACACCAAACUCUACACCAACUCCAACUCAACCUCACACCGUUUCUCCAAACCUCCAGCAGCUGUGGCUGGACUCCACACUCUCAGCUUUCCUGCUUCACUGCCUUCGGACAUUAAACAUCUGGAACAGGAAGUCCCUGAUCAACUGAGCAGAUGAAGGAUGAUCCAAUAUCAGAGAAACUGGCCUGCUUCCCAGCUCAUUAUUACUUUUGGUACGCGCUAGGCCUGCCUCAAACUCGUACCGUGAGUAAUAAUGCACUGUGGCAGGCAUUAAGCUACCUGACACUGCAGCUACAGCUCUGGAGCCUAGUAAAAGAGUCUUCAUGAUGAUGCGCCCAUCAGCCUGCAUUUCACGUGAUCUUUACUAUUUGCAUAUGCGCAGUAUGAAAUUUUGGUUAAUGCAUGAGUGGAUGCAUUGGCAGUUAUUGGUGAUAUGGAAGAAAUAGUUUCUAAUGUUGAGACACAUGGCCUGUGGCUUUUCGAUUCAGUUUUGUUUGCAGGCAACAGGAAAAGUGCAUUAAUUCAUGAAGUUUCAGUUCACUACUACUACUACAAAAACAUCAUUAUUAUUAUUAUUAUUAUUAUUAUUAUUAUAGGCGACAAUAUCUGUGUUAAAUUAUGAAUGCUUUUGUGUACACACACUUUUGUCUGAACUAUUUUCGGUACUGGAAAACAAGUUUGUAUUUUAAUAAAUAUUUAUUUGCACUGUAUUGAUUUUUUUCAAUAACUUUCCUUUAAAAAAACAACUCUUUUUUUUCUGAAUUAUUCUUGCAAUUUAAUGUAUUUAUUCCACAAAUAAAUAAAUGAAAAAAUUUAAAAAA